rnacentral:sRNA from 1 species
UUUUUUUCUGUUUAUGUGGCAGUCCACAAUUUUUCUUACUCUUUAUUUUUAUUUUUUUAUUUUUGUAAAGAUCUAACUUCACUUCAAUCUCACAAAAACACGAAUCAACUUCAGCACUAAGAAUCGAAUUGAUCAGAACUGAAAAAAAGUAAAAGAAAAGCUGAACACAGAGAAUUUAACGAGUUCACGUUCCAAACCGGAACGCUACGUCUCGCCGGAGAAACCUCUCCGGAAAUCCACUAGAACUUGGGAACUUAGUCUCUGUUACAAUGCUUUCAAGCUUUCUCUCACUACACUCCUCUCUCUCUUUGAUCUCAACAAACUCUUAUCACGAUCUAACGGAAUUACAGAGAAGAAGAAGAAGAAGAUAUAGUUACAGAGCUCAUGCGAAAAGACCAAAACGCCCUCAAGCUUGUUAUGACUUUAGUCAGCUCGCCUCACGUGUUUCUCACGUGCUUCGCUUGAAUCACAACAGACUUCGAACCCUCUCUUUCACCGAGAGUUUCUCCCACACUUAGACCCGAAGACUAAAAUCUGAGUCACUUCUUACAAUUCUCCACCUUGACUCUGAUUGUCUUCCUUGUCUCAACUUGUUCUAGUUCUUGGAUCUCCCCUCCAGUACCUGAGAUUCACCUCUCAGUUCUCAGUAACUCGGAGCAUAUGCAAUGCUCCUUCAAACUUCUCCACAGGCAACACCUUAGUAAAAAUGUCUACAGGAUUGCACUCACUUGCAAUCUUCACCACUUUAACCAGACCUGCAUUUAUGAUAUCUCGAAUGAAAUGUAACCUGAUAUCAAUAUGCUUUGUCCUUUCGUGAUGUACAAAGUUCUUUGCCAAAGCAGUAACACUCUCUGAAUCACAAUUCACCUCCACACUCUCCUGUGAAAAACCAAGUUCUUCAGAAAAACCUCUCAGCCACAAAGCCUCUUUAACAACAUCGGUUAAUGCCAUAUAUUCUGCCUCUGUAGUAGAGAUAGCUACCACCUUCUGCUGCCGUGAUUUCCAAUUAAU